UAACUCAAGUAACAGAAUUUAUUUGGUCGAAAUAACAAAGAUCUUUGGUUAAAAGACAAAAAAAUCUAAAUAAAAUUAUUAAAAAGGCCAAUAAAAAUUGUCAAAAAUACAGAAAUUCUUCGGUCAAAAGUCGUAAAGCAACUCAAGUAACAGAAUUUAUUUGGUCGAAAUAACAAAGAUCUUUGGUUAAAAGACAAAAAAAUCUAAAUAAAAUUAUUAAAAAGGCCAAUAAAAAUUGUCAAAAAUACCGAAAUUCUUCGGUCAAAAGUCAUGAAGAAACUCAAGUAACAGAAUUUAUUUGGUCGAAAUAACGAAAGUUGUUUGGUUAAAAGACAAUAAAAGCUGAAUAAAAUUAUUAAAAAAGCAAUUUAAUAUUGACAAAAAUACAGAAAUUAUUCAGUCAAAGUUAAUAAAGUAACCCAUGUAACUGAAGUUAUUUGGUCAAAAGAACAAAAGUCAUUUGGUUAAAAGACAACAAAGCUGAAUCAAAUUAUUAAAAAGCAAUUUAAAAUUGUCAGAAACACAAGUUACUCUGUCAAAGUUAGUAAAGUAUCCCAAGUUAUUUUGGCAAAUGAGCUUUUAUUAUUUUGCCUGGCUAAUUUUGCUAUAUUUACUAAUUAACUUCAGUAUUUAAUAUACUUAUUAAAUUAUUAACAAAAUGACAGAAAUGAUUCUGUCAUUGGUUAAUGAGUUAUUAGCUGAAGUAGAAAGGUCAAAUACUUUGGUGUGUUCUGGAAAAUUCCAUUCCUCAACCGAAGCAUUCAGUUAAAGCAGAUUGACGGAAGUUUUUGACAGCUUUCUGUUUUCUCCUGAUUUCUUUGUAAUUAUGGAGUGAAAAACUGUGAAAAAAUAGUGUAAAAGCAAUGAAAAUCCUUCAUGAGUGAUUAUUCAAGAGUUUUCAAGUGCUUUUGUAAUGAAAUUAGCAAGUUUUAGCACUAAAAUUGAGAUAUUGCGUUGUGAGUGAAAAAAAAACGAAGCCAUUUUGUUUUCCUUUGUGAGUACGUUGACUGAAAUGAUUGGUUAAAUCCGAAUGGGUGAGUGGUACAAAUAUAUUAUAUAUAAUCGUUUUUCUACAAAUCAAACAAGUUUUGACAUGUCAUUCAGUCACUGAGCAUUUCUUUUAUUUGAAUUAAUUAAUUCUGUUAUAAUAUUAUAUAAAUGAAAAACUUUUCCUUUUCUAAUCAAUUAUAUUUUCUUUUUUGACUAUUUGAUUCGGCUUUUUUGUCUUUUAACCAAACAACUUUUGUUAUUUUAACCAAAUAACUUCAGUUACUUGGGUUACCUUGUUAACUUUGACUGGAAAAUUUCUGUGUUUUUGACAAUUUCAAAUUGCUUUUUUUAAUAAUUUUAUUCAGCUUUAUUGUCUUUUAACCAAACAACUUUUGUUAUUUUAACCAAAUAACUUCAGUUACUUGAGUUGCUUCAUGAAUUUUGACUGAAAAACUACAGUGUUUUUGACAAUUUCAAAUUGAUUUUUUAAUAAUUUUAUUCAGCUAUAUUAUCUUUUGUCUACCGAAUUGUUUACCAAAUGCUAUUUUAUAUUUUCCUUUUUUCACUUUUUUAACUUGCAAUCUUCGUCAAUAGAGAUAUGUUAGUUUGGUUAAUGAUGUGUUUAGCUGAAGUAGAAAGGUCAAAUACUUUGGUGUGUUCUGGAAAAUUCCAUUCCUCAACCGAAGCAUUCAGUUAAAGCAGAUUGACGGAAGUUUUUGACAGCUUUCUGUUUUCUCCUGAUUUCUUUGUAAUUAUGGAGUGAAAAACUGUGAAAAAAUAGUGUAAAAGCAAUGAAAAUCCUUCAUGAGUGAUUAUUCAAGAGUUUUCAAGUGCUAUUGUAAUGAAAUUAGCAAGUUUUAGCACUAAAAUUGAGGUAUUGCGUUGUGAGUGAAAAAAAAAACGAAGCCAUUUUGUUUUCCUUUGUGAGUACGUUGACUGAAAUGAUUGGUUAAAUCCGAAUGGGUGAGUGGUGCAAAUAUAUUAUAUAUAUUCGUUUUUCUACAAAUCAAACAAGUUUUGACAUGUCGUUCCAUCGCUGAACAUUUUCUUUCAUUUGAUUAAUUAAUUCUGUUAUAAUAUUAUAUAAAUGAAAAACUUUUCCUUUUCUAAUCAAUUAUAUUUUCUUUUUUGACUAUUUGAUUCGGCUUUUUUGUCUUUUAACCAAACAACUUUUGUUAUUUUAACCAAAUAACUUCAGUUACAUACUUGGGUUACCUUGUUAACUUUGACUGGAAAAUUUCUGUGUUUUUGACAAUUUCAAAUUGUUUUUUUAAUAAUUUUAUUCAGCUUUAGAAGAAUUUCUAUAUUUUAGAUGUGUUUCUUUCAAACACAGCUUUUGUGUACCGAGCAAAAUCGAAAGUCGUCAGAUCGGGCUCAAACUUGGGAUGAGCACGAAUUAGGGUCCCCACAUUCCAAAAAACGUAUGCGCCAAAAAUUUUUUUUUCCGGCCGGCCUAAUUAUAAACUUAAAUUGCAAGAGAACGGUGAUAGAUAGAGACUUGCGGUAAACGGCAAAGUUUAAAUAUCGACCGGAAGACAUCCGAUUAUGAUGACAAAUUUUACCCCCCACCCCUCCGUCCGCCAUUUUGAAUAACCUCCAAAUUUUGUUUUGCCUAUAUCUCAGCCCCUGUAAUAGCUAAAAAUCUGAAAUUUUGAUAUGUUGUAGGGGCCAUCAAGACCUUUCCAGCGAUACCUUAUUUUCGAAAAUCGGUCAAGUCGUUUAUUCAAUAUGGCCGCUACAAUUUAUCAUGGAAAAUCGACCAUAUCUCUAAACCGGCUUGACCGAUUUUGAUCAACCCAGGGUCAAAUGAAAGCUCUUAACAUAUCCUACAAUUCUCUAGAACAUCCGAAGUUUCAAAAGUGACCGCUAGAGGGUCAAAAAACGAAAACAAAAUUUUCGAUGAGUUUUCGAUGAAUAUCUCGAAAACGGCGACAUAUUGUUACGAUUUUUGGGAGAAAUAAAAUUACCGGAAAUAAACAAACGGUUAUUAUGAAUUUAAAUGAAACGAAACCCCAUCAAAAAUAUGUUUCGAGGUCGGUCGGCAGCUAAAAUUUUGUCUGCAGUUUAUUUUUUCAUUCAAGUGCAUUUAUCGCGCUUCGGGAGCGUUCGGCGUGGGUGCAGAAAAUUUCCGCGGUUUUCUUCAAAAAUUCGUCAAUUUGAGAGUGCAAAAAUGAUGGAAAAUUCACGCAGAAGAAAUGCGGUAAGUAAUUUUACGAUUUUCUUAAUUAAUUUGUGUAAUUUUAUCUCUUUGAUCCUACUAGAUUUCACAAAUAUCUUUUAUGGAAUGUUUUAGUAGCAUCAGAUUGAUGAAAUUGAUAGAAAACAAUGAGAAAAAAUUAAUUAUUUUGAUCUAAAAAUUCUUCAUUGCAAAAAAAGAGCCCGAAAUUGAUUUUUCUUUUUUUUUUUAAAUUAAUUUUCUCAAGAUAAAAAAACAAAAACUUUUGUAAACAAGAAAAAAAAGAACAAUUUAUCAAUUUUUUUCUAUAUUUCAGAUCGUUUUUGGAACACAAUCAGUGCCCAGGAUGACCAGCCCGGAAGCCUUACCCGGAUGCCCUAUUCAGGAAGCCCUGCCCGGACCCCUAUCCGGAUGGCCUGCCUGGAUGCUCUACCCGGAUGCCCUGCCCGCUUCUGCUUUAAUUUUUGACAACAUUGGAAAAUGCGGAAAUAUCCGUUUGAAGCACAAAACUGUCCGUGCCUGGCUUCAGUCCUCAAUUUCUGGGAUCCGGUCUUACACAACUUUAUGCAACAUAAUUUUCCGGAAAUGGAAGUCCCGGAAGUCACAAAGGUGAAGAGGAGAGAUCAUCUGAAAAGCGGCCCAGCAUCAAAGGAGACAGCAGGAGAAGGAAAAGGCAACGCCGGAUAUAUUUUUUCAAUAUUUUUUUGUAAAUUUUAAAAAUAAUAAAUAAAUCUAUAUAAUAAAGAAAGGUCUGUUUGUUGGUAAUCAGUCGUGUUCGGCUAUACAAAUCUACACCGUUUGACCGAUUGCGAUGAAAUUUGGUACAGACGCUCCUUAUAUCAGUCUGUUUCGAGUGGCCGUAUUCAUUUUCCCCCCAAAGCCCCCUUUUAGUAGCCCCCAUAUAAAAUUCAUGCAUUUUUUGCGAAUUUUUAAAGGCGCCGGAAAUGUUGCUUGAAAAUGAUUUCUUCUCUUUGCAAAUUUUUUUCUUUGGGUUUGAUGAGUGGCCCUGUUUUUUUUUUUUUACUUAUAAACCAUCACAGAUUUUUUCUCCAAAAUUUGCGCGAAGCGCAAAAAAUCCCCGCGAAGCGGGAUGAGGUAAAUUGGAGCGAAGCGACAAUUUAUCUCGUUAAUAAUAAUUUGCAAAAAAAACGCUUUUUUUAUAUUCAAAACGAAUUUCAACGGUAUAACAGAUUGAUGAAUUUUUUCAGAAAACUGCGGAAAUAUUCUGCAGAAAAAGUGUCCCAGCGCCAUACAAAAUUUCUAAAGAACACGUGUUCAGAAUACCUUUAGUGCUUUCGAAUUUUUCUGCAGAAAUUCGGCAGCUAGUUUUUAAC